GUGCAUUUAAUCCGCGCUGCCCUCAAACCAAAGCACGCAGACUGUUUUUAUUUAUAGGCUGUUUCAACUUCAAUUUCAAAUGAUUUUCUAACAAGUUUUUAUUUUCUAAGAACAGUUUGAAUUUAGGUGUGUUCCGCCUCCUCAUUCAUUCACAUAAAAAUAGUCAUUUUUACUUUUGCGGACAAUUUUAUUUUUGGGACAUUUCUGACCCGGACAAAAUUCCCCAAGCACUUUCCAAUUGUUUGUGCAGUUCAAGUCUGCAGACAUUUGCUAAUCUCCCGUCAGAACAGGAUCUGCACACGUGUUCACAUUUUCCAUCUGUUGCCCUCAUUGUUUUCGUUACUAAUAAUAACUUUGGAAAUGUGUGCGUUUCUAUCAAAUGGCGCAGCGGUCAAAGGCACAACACGGGGUCAAAGGCACAGCACGGUGCUAGAGACGUCACUACAGACUCCCUGGUUCAAAUCCAUGCUGCGUUUCUAAGUAAGUGCCUUAUUACGUUAUAAUAGUUUCUGUAUGCCGUAGCGAGAAUAAUGUAUACUUCUUAUAAGCGAGGGGACGUUACUCAUUUUAUAACUUUUCAUUUUAGUCAUUUAGCAGACGCUCUUAUCCAGAGCGACUUACAGUAGUGAAUGAAUACAUUUCAUACGUUUUUUUUUCUUCCGUACUGGCCCCCUGUGGGAAUCGAACCCACAACCCUGGCGUUGCAAACACCAUUGCAAACACCAUGCUCUACCAAUUGAGCCACAGGGAGGCCCACCUUCAUGGUGUUAUAUUCAAUCGUGCUUAGGUAGCUAGCUACAUUCUUCUAUUAGCUCUGUAAAACAAUGCUAGUUGCGUCGGAGAAGUAUUAGCUUGUGUUGUAUUUUGAAGCUACAUGGCCUUAUGACUCCCUAGUGGCGCAGCGCUCAAAGGCACUGCAUCUCAGUGCUAGAGGCAUCACUACAGACACCCUGGUUCAAAUCCAGGCUGUAUCACAACUGGCUGUGAUUGGGAGUCGCAUAGGGCAGCGCACAAUUGGCCCAGCGUUGUCCGAGUUUGGCCGGUGUAGGCCAUCAUAGGUAAAUAAUAAUUUGCUGUUAAAUGACUUGCCUAGUUAAAUAAAAUAAAACAUAUGACCAUGGUUUGUUUAUUUGGUCUAUUCAGCAUGGCUCUGUUCUGCCCUGCCUUGCCCCCUUGUGGAGCUCAAAAGUUAGUUUCUUACUGUUAUAACUCAAAUCUGUGAUUUUGUCAAUGCAAUAAACUAUUUUUAUAGCUGUGUUUAUUAUGUUAUUUGUAAUAUUGUUUUAUUGCUAUAUCCUUAUAUUGUAUUCUAAUUAAUAAUUCCUCUUUAUUCUGUACUUUCAGAAACCAAAAACAGUAUUUGCCAAUAUCAUAACUGGACAUCUUUCGAGCUGAAGAUUGAGGACAGCUUUUGUAUGCUAACGUUCUCUCCUUAACAGUUUUACUGGAUGGAAACACAGCAAGAAAACACAUAGGCCAAUAUGUAAUAGUCGUCUAUUUUAUUGAAGUAUUGGUAGUUGGUUCAACAACAACUUGUUUUACUAGAGGACAAAAAAUUGAAUAUGCAUAACCCAUAUUUAAUAUUCAUGCAGUGACUGAACAACAACUGCAUUUCCACCCCCACCUCUAAAGGCAUAGUAUCAUGGCAGGUCACCUGUCAAGUCACCUGUCAGGCAGACUUUGCAGUGCCUCCGUGUGCGACUACCUUGAGCAGCAGUUUGAGGGACUUUGCAGGGAAAAUGCCGUGCAGUGAGGCGUAGGGGAUUGUCUAAAGCAGGGCGACCCCCAGUGGAGGGGCGCCGAGGGGUGUGGUGCUCCUCCAACAGCUCUCUCAUGAGGUUCUCUCUGUAUUUUUGGUGGUCCACCUUCCCUGUGGCCGACAUGGUUGCUGUAUGGACAGUGGAGAGGACAUGGACGUCUCUUUUGUCAUGCCACUAUACUGCCAGCUGUUGACCGUUCUCCUGGAACUCCACCUCCCCUCUCUGCAUCUUCCUGCAUCCGAAUGCCGGCAUCCCCGUCCUGUUCGACCUGACUGUGCCACAGGCCCCUGUGCUGUUGGAGAGCAGAUGCUGGAAGAGUGUGGGUCUGCUGUACCAAUUGUCCACGUACAAAGUGUGUCCCUUGCCGAGAUGAGGAGCCAGCAUGGUCAUCACCACGGACCCAGACACCCCAAGCCCCUCAUAAUGUUUGAUGUCAGUGGUAGACCCUGUGUACACUAUAAUAUCAAACAUUAUGAGGGGCUUGGGGUGUCUGGGUCCGUGGUGAUGACCAUGCUGGCUCCUCAUCUCGGCAAGGGACACACUUUGUACGUGGACAAUUGGUACAGCAGUCCCACACUCUUCCAGCAUCUGCUCUCCAACAGCACAGGGGCCUGUGGCACAGUCAGGUCGAACAGGAAGGGGAUGCCGGCAUUCGGAUGCAGGAAGAUUCAGAGAGGGGAGGUG
rnacentral:lncRNA from 1 species